rnacentral:rRNA from 1 species
UACGAAGGUCCCAAGCGUUAUCCGGAUUUAUUGGGUUUAAAGGGUGCGUAGGCGGGCUAUUAAGUCAGUGGUGAAAGCCCCAGCUUAACUUGGGAACUGCCAUUGAUACUGAUGGUCUUGAGUACAUUUGAGGUGGGCGGAAUGUGUCAUGUAGCGGUGAAAUGCUUAGAUAUGACACAGAACACCGAUUGCGAAGGCAGCUCACUAAACUGUAAACUGACGCUGAGGCACGAAAGCGUGGGGAGCAAACAGG